rnacentral:lncRNA from 1 species
AGUUUCUGAAUAGCUGAUUUUAAUGGUGAUAUGACUACUUCCAAAUGCAUUCAGUCAUACUCAUAUUCAAAAGAGUAAAACCCACAGUAACCACACAUGUCAUGAAAGUCUUGCAUUUACUGAUUUAUUUUUACCAUAAUGAGAAAUGAUUUUUACUUUUCUAAGCCAACUAAAAAAGUUCAGGUCAGUUUACUCUACUGGUGAAAUGAAGUAAAACAUGCCUUCCUCCUCCACCAAAUGACUACAAAGGAAAAUCCAUGUAUGUUCUUUCAUUUAAGUAAAUUGUACUUGAAUGACACAAAUAUCAACACAUGUUUAGAGACAAUAGUAGUAGAUUUUCAAGGCUGAGUGGUGGGUUACCAUGCUCUGAGAAAAGCCUAGGUAAUCGCCUGUCAAGGAAGAACCAUUUUUGUUAACUCUUAUUCUUAACAUGAAUCUUGAUCAGCACUUCAUUAACUAGAAUACUUCCAUUUAAAAAACUGCAGUUUCUGUACACUUAAGGAUUUGGGAACACAAUUUCUAAUAAUUCCCUAUAAAAGACCUUAAAUGACAGUAAAAGAAAUUAGUGUUUAAUAACUGACAUAUAGAAGUUUAAGUAAUUUAUAUUUGCCAAAGAACUUACAUUUCUGCUCCUCCUGAAUGUAGUAUGGGUUUCCUUUUGAAACCAUCUUCUUGACUCUUCCAGUUCUUUGUCCCACUAGUAUGAAUUUCAUUUAAGUUAUGUUGAAAAGCAUAAAAUGAAGAGUCCUAAUGGCUAUAUAAUCCCUGUAAAGCUAUUAGCAAUAGGGUAAUAUUCAGACACAUUUAAGUAAACUUUCUAGAAAGAAAAGGUACCACAGUUUCAUAAAAGACGGUGGGUCCAAAGUUUUAGUGUGGGGCUUGGGGAAAUGGAUUCUAAAAUCAUUGUUUUUAUGUCUAUGGGGAGGAAA